rnacentral:SRP_RNA from 1 species
CCAGGGCGGUAGCGCGUGCCUGUAGUCCCAGCUACUACAGAUGCUGAGGUGGGAGGAUCGCUUAAGCCCAGGAGUUCUGGGCUGUAGCGCGCUGUGCGGAUCUGGCGUCUGCACUAAGUUCGGCAACAAUUUGGUGACCUCCUGGGAGCAGGGGACCACCAGGUUGCCUAAGGAGGCGUGAACCAGCCCAGGUCGGAAACGGAGCAGGUCAAAACUCCCGUGCUGAUUAGUAGUGGGAUCGCGCCUGUGAAUAGCCACUGCACUCCAGCCUGGGCAACAUAGCGAGACGCAGUCUGGU